rnacentral:lncRNA from 1 species
AAUCAAAUUCAAAACAACUCAAAGAAAUUUCAAACAAACAAUAAAAUUCUUAAAGAAAUAUUAGAAUGAUCACAAAUUUUACUCAAUUAUAUGUCAAUUCAACCUUAUUUUAAUUCUAGUUAAAAUCCUAUUGAAUUUCACUCAACUUUAGAUCAAACCUAAUUAAAUCUUAAAUACUAAUAAUUCCUAAACCCUAAGUCAAAUCCUAAACAAAUCUUAAAUUAAACCCUAAUCCAACCCUAAAUCCUAAACCAAACCUUAAAUCAAAUCUUAAUCAAACCCUAAUCCAAACCCUAAUCCAAAUCCUAAAUCAAAUUCUAACCAAAUCCUAAAUCCUAAUCCAAAUCCUAAUCCAACCCUAAACUCUAAUCCAAAUCCUAAACCCUAAAUCAAACCUUAAAUCAAAUCCUAACCAAACCCUAGUCUAAACUCUAAUCCAAACCAUAAAUCUUAAUCCAAAUCCUAAUCCAACCCUAAACUCUAAUCCAAAUCCUAAACCCUAAACCAAACCUUAAAUCAAACCCUAACCAAAUCCUAAUCCAAACCCUAAUCCAAACCCUAAAUCAAACCCUAUCCAAAUCCUAAACCGAACCCUAGCCAAAUCCUAAUCCAAAUCCUAGUAAUUCCUAUGACAGAUUUAAACCUCAAUAUCUCAUGAAUAAACCGUCGAUCUCAAUUCAAAAUUUGCAUACUUCUUAAAAAUCAAGUUUAAAACAAGCAAAAAAAAUUUGAAAAGGAUCGGAGUUACGAAAUUGACGAAAACCUCAAAAAUGUGUUCGGGUGUUAGCUGGCCUCCUUCUCCAAUCUUGUUGUCAAACUUCCAGAGUCAAUUUCUCUUUUUUGCGCCGUUCGAUUGGUUUCAAAUUUCUCAUGGACAUAGGAAAACAAUUCUAAUAUCUUCUCACAUAAGUUUUACUCCAAUCCAACUAGUAGAUUGCAUGAAAUCUUAAAAACCCUCACUAGACCUAAAAUUCUACUUUCUAAGACCUUGAGUCACUUAAACCUCAAUAUCUCUCAGUUCAACCGUUAGAUCAAGUUCAAAUUUACAACAUGUAUUCAACACAACUAUAACCAUGAAUCCAAAAAAAAUCACUUAUAGAUCUACAACAAAACUCUCGAAAUCACUCAAAAUAUAAAUCCUAUUUUAUUUCAUAAAACCCAAGUCAUCCAAAAAAAAACUCAACUUUGCAAAGCUCUUACGAAUUCAUAUCAACUUCAAAUCACCCAAAAUCAAUGUCCAUAGAAACCCUAUUCAACCUUCUCUCCAACCCUACUCUCCGAUCUGCCAAAGAGUCCCGGAGUCGUCAAGACUCGGUUUUGUGCCUCAGGGUCUGAUUUCGACCCUGGUUCAUAACCGGCCCUCUCCGGGUAUCAAUAUCUAGUUUUUCUAAGUAAUUUUUUUUCUAGAAUUUACUCUUAACUUUUUUCUAAAGAUUCCAAUAUCAUUUAUUUUUCCAAUCUAUUUUGAUUUGCCUUACUUAUGGUACUACAAAGUAAGUAGAAGUCACCUUUCUAAAAGGCAGCAUUGAUACCUUUUAAUUUUUCUACCCCUUUGGCUAUUAACUAUAUUUCUAAGAUAAUUUGUUCUAAUACUUUGAAGUAAGAUCUCUUAAAUUAUAAUAAUCUCCACACUCUUUCACCUAUUAAUCGUGUUACAUCACUACAUCCACCCUCCCUGAAUCUGUGCAUCCUCCGGCAUGCGCCAACGAUUCUUCAAUAUGUUGAUGUAGAAUGUUCUUCAUCUUCGUACAAUUCUUGAUCUUCAAUAUGCUCUUCUAUUCCAAUCUCAAUAUCUUAUAUUUGAGUUUGUUCUUCAUCAAAACAAAUGCCUUCAUCUCUUUGUUUAAAUAACUUGAUUCAUUUGCUUGCUAUGGAUACCUUCAAUUCUGUACCAUCAAGUUCUUGUAAUGAAUAUGUUCCAUUGUUGUGUGCCCUUUUGACAAUACAAGGUCCAAACCAUCUCUUUGCAAACUUAUUUAUAGUGCUAUGUUGAUUGUCUAAGCUACUAUCAUAAACUAAUACCCAAUCACCAUCUUCAAUAGCCUUGGGUCGUAAUCAAUGUUUUUUUAUCAAAUCUUUCUUUAUUCUUUUCCCUUGCUUCUUUCAAUUUUUUUAUUGCUAUUUCAAUAUCGUUGGGUCUUCUUUCUAGUUGCUGAAUCCGUAAUACUAAAAGUUCUUCUCUGUUGAGAUCAUUCUUCCACGGCAAUACACCCCAUGUAGGUACUACAUCUUCUAUUGGCAUUACUGGUUUUUGACCAUAUACUAAUUCAGAAGGCAUAUAACCUAUUACCGAACUAUGAGUUGUACGAUCUGCCCAUAGUGCAAAUGGUAGUAGUCUAGGCCAUUCAUGUGCUUUUCCAUUGCAUGCCUUUACUAAUGCCUUAACAAUAGGUGAAUGCCCAUGCUCACUUUUACCAUUACCUUCUGGAUUAUAUGUAGUUGUUAAAGAAAGCUUAAUUCCUAUCCUAUUAAAGAAUUCUCGUGCUUCCUUUGCAUCCAAUUCACCUCUAUCGGCUGUAAUUUUUCCAAUACAACCAUAGCGACAAAUAACUUCUUCUAAUAGAAAUCGACAUACACCUUUAGUAUCCUUUGUUCUUAAUGCUCGUCCUUCAACCAUAUUUGAUAAAUCUUCUCAUGCAAGUAUCAAAUACUUCUUUUAUCCAAGUCCCAUAGGCAUUGCCACUAAAUCCACCACCCAUUUGUAAUCUAAAGCCAAAGGGUAUGUUGGAUGUAACCCAUCUCGAUGUCGAAUAUUUGAAUAUAUUUGGCAAAUCUCACAAGAUUGUAUAAAUUUUGCUAUGUCUUUAUACAUUCCCUUCCACCAAUAUUGUUCCUUUAACUUAGUGAAUGUUGUUCAAAUACCUCGAUGCCCUGGCCAUAAAUUUUUAUGAAAUUCUUUAAUAAUCUUUGGUUGAGCUUCUAAACCACAUAUUAUCCUUUGUGAUACUUCUUCUCUCUUUUUUGGAUGCUUCCAUAAAUAUCCAUCAUGUAAAAAAUAUCCAUAGUCUUUCUUACGAAUUUUCUUAAAUUCUUGAUUUGUCCAAUCUUUUUGUCGUUUUAAUGUGCUCAAAUACUCUCCAACAUCUUUCCAUUCAUUUUCAUAUAAAUCUCUUAAAAAUGCUUUUAAUGGUAUAUUAAAACAUACACCCUUUUCCUUUGAUAACGCAUUGGUAUAAAAUUUUGUACCCACAUCAUCUUCUAAAUCAAUCAUCUUUUCUUCAUCAUUAUACCAUGCUCUCGAUAACAUAUCUGCAACUGAAUUUUCUUUUCCUGCAAUAUGUUUAAAUUCAGGAUUCAUAGAUUUGAUAUAUGCUAUCCACCUCAACAUAGCAAUAUCAGGAGUUGAACAACUUGUAAUCAUGCCUAACAAAGGUAGAUAAUCUGUUUCUAUAACUACUGAUGCUCCAAUCAAGUACUCUUUUUCAUUUUUCAUAGCUAUUACUAUAUCCCAUAAUUCUCUUUUGAUUUGUGCAUAUGUCCUUUGCCUAGAAUUCAAUACCUUUGCUCCAAAUCUUACUACAUAUCUAUUUCCUUGUUCAUCAUCUUGUCCAACUGCCCAACCUAUUCCAAUUGGACUUGCAUCAACUGUUAAUACCACUGGCCUUCUACCUUCAUAAUUUACUUUCUUCAAAGUUGGAGAUGAAGAAAGAAGUUCUUUCAAUUUUUCCAUAGCUUUCCGUUGUUCUUCUUUCCAUUGAAUUUUUGAUUCUUUCUUAACAACUUAUAUAAUGGAUCUGCUAUAUGUGCAAAGUGAGGUAUCUAUAUAUGAUAGAAAAUACAUGCUUCUAAAAAUCUUCUCACUUCCGUUGUAUUUGUACAUUCUUUCAUCUUUUUAAUAAUAUCAAUCUUUUCUAUACUUGGCUAACGUCCAUAUGAACCACAUGUGUAUCCUACCACCAAAAUUUCUUUUACUCCAAACAUUGGUUUUGUCCCCGAUAAGGUUAAAUGGACUUCUUCCAAUCUUUUCAAAAUCUUCUUACAAUCUUCAAUAUGAUCUGCCACAAACUUCUUACAUCCCUUUGAAUCAAAAGUUUCAUCCUUUGUUUCUUCUUCACAUCCCAUAAUAGGUACAUCAUCUAAGAAAGGUAUUGUUAUUCUUGGAAUAAAAUCUCUUAAUAUCUUAUGCAUUCCAUUCAUCACAUGUGCUACAGAAUUUGUAGCCCCUUGUAGUAAUGUGCACAUUCUAACUAAUCCUAACGGUGUCUUCAUAGUUGUCAAAUUCCUACUUUGUAUUGCCAAUUGGAAUUGAUCAUAACCUGAAUAAAGAUCACUCAUUGAGUAGAUAGCUCUUCCAGCAAAUGCUUCUACAAAUUCAUCCACAAUUGGACUUGAACCCAUAUUUCUAAUAGUCACUUUAUUUAUGGGUUGCAUAUCUUGUAUAAAUCUCAUUGUUCCAUUUUUCUUUGGCACUGUAAACCAUCGAUUAGAAUAAGGUGCUAUAGAUGGUUCCAAAAUUUCAAUUUUAAUCUUUUCAUUGAGUAAAUCUAGUAAUUUAGAUAAAUAUGCUCUUGGUACUGGAAUUGGUCGCAAAUUCCAUGGUUCAUGAGGAAUAGUAAAAAUAACCAUGGGUGCUACAAUAUUUGGAUCAACACACCUAAUUUCAUGUGCUUCAAAUGCAAAAGCUUUUCCAUGACGUAAAAGUAAAUCCCUAAAACAUUUUUCUUCACAUUUUGUUAAAAAUCCAUCACCUCCAACAUUUAAUCCAUCUAAUGUAACAUCCGUAAAUUUAUACCCUAUCUUCCUUGGAUUUCUUAGAUUUGGUUGUAUCGAUGCCCCACUUACCAUUUCUUCACAAUCACAUGGUAGUCGCAAAGCCACUAGUUUGACCUUCUUUGCUACUGAUUUAUACUUAGUUUCAACAUAUACCUCUUGGCAACUUAAAUUUUCUUUAAAUCCUUGAAUUUCAUCAUAAAAUUCUUUAGAAUACACAUUAAUAACUCUAUUCUCUACUUGUAACUCACAUUGUAAUAGAUAAUUUAAUUCCCCCAUAGAAUCUGCAAAACCUAUUUCUUCAUAUCUUCCUGAAAUAAAUUCAUUUUCAACCAAUUCUCCAUUUUCUUUCAACUUUUCUUCUAUAUUUUUAAUAUAAUAUCUGUCCCUCUUUUUCAUUUUGUCAAUAGUCUUAAAAGUCAAUACACAAUCUUGUGUCAUCUCAAUAAGUCUGGUAGAUAACAAUUCUUUUUCUAAAUUAAGUGGGAGCAUUUCUUUCUCUAAUCCAUUGCAACCCCGCCUUACAAUGGUGUGUGGUAAAAAUCCUCAAGGUCUUCAAAUUUUUCAUUUGAUAUUGGUUUCACUCUCAACUUAUCAUGUUUUCUCUCAGGAUUAGCACAAACAGUUCAAAAUUGAACUGCUUUCAUCCCAUCUUGGCUUCUUAUUCUUGCAUAAGCUGAACCAUCAUCCAUUACUUUUGUUUCCAUUUGUGUGGAAAUAAUAUAUGAUUGUCCCAAUAUAAUAGGCUAUGUAGACAUGUCUUGCACAAAGAAAUUUUGUUCAUGAAUAACAUCUCCAAUUGUCACUUUGAUAUUUGGACAUGCUCCAUACAAAUCUCCCUUUGAAUUAUUCGCAGCUCUUAUCAUCUACCUAUGUUCAGUAUCAAUAGGCCAUUUUCCCUUGUUAUAUAAUUCCUUUGACAUCAAAUUGAUUUGAGAACCAUGAUCAAUUAAUGCUACAACUGGUUCUUCUAAAUUUUCUAAUUUUAUUAAAGUCUCCAUUGUAGCCCUUGCCUAAUGACUUCUAGAAUAAUGGCUAGAAGCUUGAAUGACAUCUUCUUUUUUUGAAAACCUUACUCACAAGACAUCUCCAAAAUUUUGUAUUUUAUCUUCUUCAUCUUCAUUUCUUUCCAUUGCUCUUGUUCCUUGUGCAUUUGAUGUCAUAGAAUCUCCUAUAGAUUGUCGUUUUCUCUUUAUUGUAUCAAUAAUAACUUCAUGAAACUCACGCUUUGUAAUUCCUAGAAUUUCAUUAAUUGUGAAUUCAACCUUUCCACUUAAAAUCCACUCCUUUAAUACCUUCUUUAAGUCUGUAGCUACUUCAAUAUCUGAUUGUAAUUUAUAAGCAGGAGCCUUUGCUUUUUCUUUUUCAAUUUCCCUCUCUUUGUAGAAAUGCUCCCAUUGUCUCUUCAUGUAUAGAAUUCUUUUGUUGUCGUACUUUUUCUCCCCUUGUAAUUCUUUUUGAGGGCCCUUCAUUAUUUUCAUCUUUCUUUCAUUUUUCUUCUAUUAAUGCUUCAUGUUGACUCCUUGCAAUAUGAGCAUGUACAGAUAGUCUAUCUACUGGAUCAUCCCACCCAUUAAUUUGUCAAAUGUUAUUACCAACACAUUUCAAAUCAUCUCUAGUAAAAUUUUUCCUUUCAGCAUACCUCAUUGCACUUGUCCACAAAGAACUAGAUUCUACUGGAAACUCAAGGUUUAUACUUAAACAUCUACUAGGAUCUGUUUCCACCCAAUAUGUUGAUGCUUCAUUGCUUGAGAUUGUCUGCACUUUAAAAGUAUCUCCAAUAAAUAACUUCAUUCCUCCUUUAUCAAAAUUUUUUUCCAAUUUUUCUCCAUUUUUUUUUUGAGUGUAUCAUACCAUCUUUAAAAAAAACAACUCCUUUACGUAAUGCCUCUGUAAAUUCUUCACAUUCCCUCCUCAAGUCAUCUAUGUUGUCACACCACAUGCAUCUAUGUACUACACCCUCCAUUGGCCUUGGUCUUUGUUUUGUUGAUAUUCUUGAUGAUUGACCUUUCUCUUCAAGUUUUACAAAUUUUAUUUGUAAAUCUCUCAUCCCACGUAUGAUUUCAUCAAUUCUUGUUUCUUCUUUCUUUGAUAUAGCCAUUGAAGGUUGAAUUAAAGAUGUCGGAUGGAUACUAGACACCUUUAUCUUAGAUGGUUGUAAUGGUCUUUGAUCACCCCCCAUAUCUUUUCUCUUUUUCCUUUUUGUCAUCGUCCUUACAGCAUCCUCUACCCUUUCCCAAUUUGUUGUCAAUCCUUCAUCUUCUUCUUUAUCUUCAAGCAUGAAUUCCAACUUCUCUUAUAACUUUCUAUCAGCUGCUUAAAAAAAGAGCUCCACCUUACUUGGAUCCAAUAACUGUCUUUCUUUCUUUGAUAAAGAAGAAUAUUGCUUUUCAAACUCCCUUAAUAAUUCUAUUGCUAAAAGAUCCUUCUUUGGCUUUUCAAUCCAUUCAAAAAAAGACCUUUUUGUAAUCCUAUCACUAUUUUCUAAGAAAAAUUCAUCUUUCAAAGCUUGAGAAAAUUUCUCCCAUGAACCUCCAAAGUGUUGAAUAAGAAACUUAACUUGAUUUCUUAUCUCUUGUGCAGAGGCUAAUUCAAAUAAUUGAACCAUCUCACUUUCUGAAAUAUGCUUCAAUUCCAUUUCUUUUACAUAACAUCUUAAAUAUUUUGUAAUAUCCUUUCCUUCAAAUUGAUCGAUCUUGUCCACGACCGCUUGUAAUGCUUUGUUAGCCAUACUCUCUUUGUGAUCUUUAACCUGUUGCUCUUGUUGUUGCAUGAAUAAGGUCAAAGCUUCAAACAUGCUUGUGGAAUUAGGAUCAAAAUGCAUACCUUGUCUACAAAUGAAACUCUUCUUCGAACUCCACUUGAAGCACUUUCCAAAUUGUCUCCUUCCAUUUUCUUUUAAUUCCUUCUCCAAAAUUCAAAUAAAAAAAAAUAAUAAUAAAUUCCUUCCACCUCAAGCGUUUCAUGUCGGGUUCACCAAAUAUGUCGUAAUGUGUGAAGUCUAGCUUGAGAAUGCUCCGGACACUUGGCUGUAGAAGGAAGAAUAGAAAUUGCGAUAACAAAAUCUCAAUUCUAAUAGAAUAUUAACAAUGCUCUAAUUAGACUAUAAUAAUGCUAAACAAACGUAAUCAAAUUCAAAACAACUCAAAGAAAUUUCAAACAAACAAUAAAAUUCUUAAAGAAAUAUUAGAAUGAUCACAAAUUUUACUCAAUUAUAUGUCAAUUCAACCUUAUUUUAAUUCUAGUUAAAAUCCUAUUGAAUUUCACUCAACUUUAGACCAAACCUAAUUAAAUCUUAAAUACUAAUAAUUCCUAAACCCUAAGUCAAAUCCUAAACAAAUCUUAAAUUAAACCCUAUUCCAAAUCCUAAACCCUAAACCAAAUCCUAAUGCAACCC